rnacentral:rRNA from 1 species
AUUGAACGCUGGCGGCAGGCCUAACACAUGCAAGUCGAACGAGUGGCGGACGGGUGAGUAAUGUCUGGGAAACUGCCUGAUGGAGGGGGAUAACUACUGGAAACGGUAGCUAAUACCGCAUACCAUCAGAUGUGCCCAUAUGGGAUUAGCUAGUUGGUGGGGUAACGGCUGACCAAGGCGACGAUCCCUACCUGGUCUGAGAGGAUGACCAGCCACACGGUAGCUGAGACACGGUCCAGAAGCCUACGGUAGGCAGCAGUGGGGAAUAUUGCACAAUGGGCGCAAGCCUGAUGCAGCCAUGCCGCGUGGAUGAAGAAGGCCUUCGGGUUGUAAAGUACUGUCAGCGGGGAGGCGUUACCCGCAGAAGAAGCACCGGCUAACUCCGUGCCAGCAGCCGCGGUAAUAC